rnacentral:lncRNA from 1 species
AUUUGGACUUUUUCUUUUCAGAUUAUUUUUGACUACUGAAUUUGUAUAUGUCUAUAAAAAAUAAAAUAAUAUAUAAUUAACAGUACAUUAAUUUCUUCAUAUUUGAAAAUUUGACAAAUUUUAAAUCUACCUCUGCUAAAGAGAGAGAAUUAGAAUUCUCAAUUUCCAUCUAAUCACAUGUAUUGGAUGACAAGCCAGGAUCAUGAGCUUCGAUUUCUAUAUCAGGUAACUUUAGUGGAUCCCAAUCAUGGACGAAAUUGUAUAACCAUUUUGCAAAUUAAUAAAAUAUUAUUAUAUCAAUUCAAAUGUAUUUAAAUUCACAAUUUUGCCAAUUCAAAAUUUAAAUAUAUUAAUAUAAAUUACAAACAUUAUGAUGAUUGAAAAUAUAUAAACCGUUUUCUUACUUUUUUUAAAUGGAACAGCACCAGAAAUUAAUCUUUUUUUUUUCUCAGUGGAGGAAAAACACCAAUCUUCAAAAUGAUCUCUACAUAUUUUAUAAUGUUUAUACAAAAUGCUAUGUAUUUAUCAAAACUGUUUACCAGUAUGUACAAAAAUUGAUAGCCAGGUGGCUGGCGGAAAAAUGUACAUUUAUGAAAAGACAAAAUAUACCAUCUAUAGAGAGGAAUUGUUUUUAUUCAAAAGCAAUAUGCAUUUUUGGAUGACAAAAUAUCAAAU